rnacentral:rRNA from 1 species
GACGUAGGGUGCGAGCGUUGUCCGGAUUUAUUGGGCGUAAAGAGCGUGUAGGCGGCCAGGUAGGUCGGUUGUGAAAACUGGAGGCUCAACCUUCAGAGGUCGACCGAAACCAUCUGGCUAGAGUCCGGGAGAGGAGAGUGGAAUUCCUGGUGUAGCGGUGAAAUGCGCAGAUAUCAGGAAGAACACCCGUGGCGAAAGCGGCUCUCUGGAACGGUACUGACGCUGAGACGCGAAAGCGUGGGGAGCGAACAGG